GCUGGAUGUGGUAGAGCAUGCCUGUAAUCCCAGCCACUCAGGAGGCUGAGGCAGGAUGAUCUCAAGUUCGAGCCCAGCCUGAGCAAUUUAGCAAGGCCCUAAGCAACAUAGUGAGACCCUGUCCCAA
rnacentral:sRNA from 1 species